rnacentral:ncRNA from 2 species
UUAUAGAUACAUGACUGACGGAAAUGCAUAUUUAUUGCAGGUAGAAUUAACUACAGGAAAUGUAUCUGGCUAUUUUGGUCGACCGUCUGGGCAAUUUUU